UGAAAAGCAUUGACCGAAAGAGUAGGACACAGAAAGAAGUCUAGAGAGGGAUGAUUGGUGAAAAAUCCCCUUCUGACUGUGCCUGAAGGUAAUUCGGGAGCAACCCGGCUGAACCAAGUAGGCUGGGGCGGUUCAUUUACCGUUAUUAAAUGAUUAAGUGGGGUUGUAACUUUACAAUCCAAUUUAGGUGGUACCGCGGAACUCGUCCUAUUA
rnacentral:ncRNA from 1 species